rnacentral:rRNA from 1 species
GACAGCCAGGAUGUUGGCUUAGAAGCAGCCAUCAUUUAAAGAAAGCGUAAUAGCUCACUGGUCGAGUCGGCCUGCGCGGAAGAUGUAACGGGGCUAAACCAUGCACCGAAGCUGCGGCAGCGACGCUUAUGCGUUGUUGGGUAGGGGAGCGUUCUGUAAGCCUGUGAAGGUGUACUGUGAGGUAUGCUGGAGGUAUCAGAAGUGCGAAUGCUGACAUAAGUAACGAUAAAGCGGGUGAAAAGCCCGCUCGCCGGAAGAC